GCUUGUCUCAAAGAUUAAGCCAUGCAUGUCUAAGUAUAAACAACAUUGUACUGUGAAACUGCGAAUGGCUCAUUAAAUCAGUUGUAGUCUACUCGAUAGUACCUUACUACUUGGAUAACCGUAGUAAUUCUAGAGCUAAUACAUGCAUGAAUACCCAACUGCUUGUCGGGCGGGUAGCAUUUAUUAGAUUGAAACCAAUGCGGGCUUGCCCGGUAUUGUGGUGAAUCAUAAUAACUCCUCGAAUCGCAUGGCCUUGCGCCGGCGAUGUUUCAUUCAAAUUUCUGCCCUAUCAAUUUGAUGGUAGGAUAGAGGCCUACCAUGGUGGUAACGGGUGACGGAGAAUUAGGGUUCGAUUCCGGAGAGGGAGCCUGAGAAACGGCUACCACAUCCAAGGAAGGCAGCAGG
rnacentral:rRNA from 1 species